AUUGAACGCUGGCGGCAUGCUUUACACAUGCAAGUCGAACGGUAACAGGCCGCAAGGUGCUGACGAGUGGCGGACGGGUGAGUAAUGCAUCGGAACGUGCCCAGUCGUGGGGGAUAACUACUCGAAAGAGUAGCUAAUACCGCAUACGAUCUAUGGAUGAAAGCGGGGGACCGUAAGGCCUCGCGCGAUUGGAGCGGCCGAUGUCAGAUUAGGUAGUUGGUGGGGUAAAGGCUCACCAAGCCAACGAUCUGUAGCUGGUCUGAGAGGACAACCAGCCACACUGGGACUGAGACACGGCCCAGACUCCUACGGGAGGCAGCAGUGGGGAAUUUGGGACAAUGGGCGCAAGCCUGAUCCAGCAAUGCCGCGUGCAGGAAGAAGGCCUUCGGGUUGUAAACUGCUUUUGUACGGAACGAAACGGCUCUGGUUAAUACCCGGGGUUAAUGACGGUACCGGAAGAAUAAGCACCGGCUAACUACGUG
rnacentral:rRNA from 1 species